CGGGAUGUAGCUCAGCCUGGCUAGAGCGCUUGGUUUGGGACCAAGAAGUCGAAGGUUCGAAUCCUUUCAUCCCGA
rnacentral:tRNA from 1 species